GACACCGAGGCCCAGGGGAAGUGAUUUAAAGUCUUGUAACAAAUUAAUGACAAAAGAUUUAGGAACUUUUUGGAUUUCAUCCAAAUUCAGUGCUCAAGGCUAGAACCUGGCAAACAAACGUUUACAUACUGCUUUAAGAUAUGCAACCAUGGACAAACAACUCAUUCCACCUCCUUUGGAACUCAAUUUUCUCAUCUAGGGAGACUGAAUUAUGAAAAACAACUGAAGAUGGGUUCCUGAUUCUUCUGUUUUCAUCUCCUCCUCUGGUAGGAAUGGUACUAGAACUUGGCAGGUGGUGGAAACAGAUAUUGUUUAGUCAGAGACUGUCUCACUUUGAAUUUUGUAUCCCUAGCACAGUGCCUGACUUAAUAAAUGAUUAUUGAUCUAUUUAGUGCCCCAAUAAUAGUUGUAUUAUACUACUAGAAAGAGAGACUUUGGAGAUAGAAGACCCUAGUUAAAACUCAAGUCCUAUCACUUUUUGAGCUUAGAUCAAUAAUAUAAGGAAUCUGGGAUCCAGAGACCUUACUUGGCACAUCUCUAGAUCACCAAAAAUGAUAUAGUUUGAUCGAUUGUCUUUGAUGAUCCCUUCCAGCCCUAAAUCUAUGAUUCUAUUAUCCUAAUUACACAUACCUACUUACAGAGAUCAUUUGAUAGUAGUGGGGAAGUUGUUUCUAUUCUCAUUGUAUCUGCCAAAUAAGCCAUCAACAAGAAUGAG